UCUCAACAAGAUAUAUCCGUGUUUUCAGUGUACUGGGGGGAGGUUAAAGAAAGCUGCUUGAACAAUGAGUAGAAGUUCGUCUUGUUAGCAAAGCCAAAGCUCAGCGAGUAUAAACAAAUUAAUGCAUAUGCCGGUUCGCCUGAGGUAAUGUGUGUCUAUCUUCUAUAUCUAUUUGGAUACGUUCCUGGGAGUGGGUGUUAUAUCGAGGGGUUACAGGAAUUUACGUGGAGGGGCUGAAUAUGAGUUCACGGGCCCAUUUCGCCGGAACUCUCAUGAAAGAUGUAUGUAUGUAUGUGCACUGGUAACUCAACUUAUCAACGCGCCGAGCCGCAAACUUUUCUCAUCUACUUAACGCAGAUAAGCGGCUGCCUUUUCGACAUGUUUGGCUUCUAAUUUGCCCUGCCGCAGAAACACAUUCAUAGACCCAACUGAUGGCGUUAACUUAAUUUUCAGCCAAAACUCUACUGGAGUCCGUAAAGAGGGAAAAGUAAAGAAAAAAGAUGAGCCAACAUUCCAACGGGGGUCGCCCUUUUUCUGACUUCUCUUGUGUGAAAUAAAAUUAACUAAAUACGCUCACGAGUAACAUUCAUAAUAAACAUUAAGCAGCAAGGGCGAAAAAAGUCGAAUAAAUAUAAAAAAUAAUAUUUGCCAGACGACUCCUUUUUGCGAUUACGAUGCGCCGGCAGUGUGGCCAGUGUUUUUCGGCUUCGUCGGGCUGUGGGAUCGGGUAAAAUUAUGGCAUAAGUUACUUAGAAGUAAGCUGGUUUCCUGCUUCUGCUCCCCGAAUCUUCACCACCACCAUUCACAUCCAGCCACCACCCACUUUGCAGCCCCCGAUGGCAUCAACUUGGCUACACUUUACUUUUAUGUGGCGAGCUCGGAAUGUACUUGCUGGCGAAAUAAAGAUACAGAUACAUAGAUACGCAGAUACGCAGAGAGUGCCCAGAUACAAGCACAUUUGUAGCGAUAAGAGUCAUAAAGUUAUCUUGAAAGAAUGUUGCCAAAUGCCUCACCAAGAGUAUUAAAAGUCAAGAAGGAAACGCAACGCGGCCACAAGUCGAAGGACUCGUUCGACUUGGAGGGGGCACAAAUAGAACUAUGACAAGGACGUAACUUUUAGCACUCCCAUCAGGCAUUCCCCGUUGGAUCGGGCUUCUGGGGUUCAGCAGCAAGUCAAUUACGCACUGCCAGCCAAGUUUCGCGCUUUGUUUCUCCCGGAUUUGUCAGUUUAAUGAAUGCUUUCCCAGCGAAUCGACGUAUCUGCUAAAUGGCGGAGGGGAGUCCGUGGGAUUUAUUCGCACUGACCGACAGGAGCAAGAGAACUCGGUAUGGGGACAUAUGUAUGCUAUUACUAGCAAACCCUGAGAAACCUAUCAAUUAGUGAAGUAGAGAUAAUCAUUUGAAAUUACAGUGGCUUGUGAAGGAAUGCAUGUGACCAUUAAUAAGUUAAUUGCACAUCAAAA